UCCUUCGAGCUUAUUCUCUGGGCCUCUGGACCACAACAAGGUCCGCAGCCCGAAGCUCCCCCAGUUUCCUUGGACAGUCAUGUGCGUGGGCAGCUGAGAGGACACUGGACUCCUGGCAGCAGGUUCUGUCGACCCCACCUGGCUGGAUCACCUCAGCCUGUGAGUCUUACGGCCUCGGCCUGUUUAUUCAUGAAAUAAUGGGAUUUCU
rnacentral:lncRNA from 1 species